GGGCUCGCGCUCCCGGCUCGGCUCCGGCCUGCCCCGGGCGGGCGCUCUGUGUUCCGCCAUGUCGGGCCGGAAGCGUGGCCGUGCCGCCGCCGCCGCCGCCGUCAGCCCAGCCCCUGCGAGGCAAGCGGUUCUGAGCAGAUUCUUCCGGCCUACGGGAGGCCUGAAACCCGGCUCGUCCGCCACGGCUGCAGCCGACGGGGCCGCCCCCGCCUCUGCCUCUGCAGCGCCCCCAGCGUCCGCUCUCCCGCCUCAGGUUGCAGAAGUUGGCAGCAGUAAAAAGAGACCACUGGAGAGUGAUGGGACUGUUCAAAAGAAAGCGAAGAAAGUCCAAGGAAAGGAAGGAAGAAGUGAUUUAGUAAUAUCUGGGAACUCUGAGCCAAAGAAAUGUCUGAGGACCAAGACUGUUUUAAAGUCUCUGGAAAAAUUGAAACAGUUCUGCUGCACUUCUGCCCUUGCUCAAAAUAGAGUCCAGACAGUGCCUCUUCAGGAGAGAUUUGCAGUUUUGCCAAAAUGUACUGAUUUUGACGAUAUCACUCAUCUACGUGCAAAGAAUGUAAUUUCUUCUGAAGAUUCCAAAUCUCAUAUUAAUCAAAAGGAUAAGACGCUUUCUGAUCUCAGUCCUUUUGGAUCAUCAUGCACGGGUAAUGACGAUUUACAGAAAACGCCAGAUCCUAAACCAUCUAACAAACGGACCAAAAGCAUCUACACACCUUUAGAAUUACAAUACAUAGAAUUGAAGCAGCAGCAGAAAGAUGCAAUUUUGUGUGUGGAAUGUGGAUAUAAAUAUAGAUUUUUUGGGGAAGAUGCAGAGAUUGCAGCCCGGGAGCUCAAUAUUUAUUGCCAUUUAGAUCACAACUUUAUGACAGCAAGCAUACCUACUCACAGACUUUUUGUUCAUGUACGCCGCCUCGUGGCAAAGGGAUAUAAGGUGGGAGUCGUGAAGCAAACUGAAACUGCAGCAUUAAAGGCUGUGGGGGACAACAAAAGUUCACUGUUCUCCCGGAAAUUGACUGCUCUUUAUACGAAAUCUACACUUAUUGGAGAAGAUGUGAAUCCUUUAGUCAAGCUGGAUGAUGCUAUAAAUGUUGAUGAGGUAAUGACUGAUACUUCUACCAGCUUUCUUCUGUGUAUCUGUGAAAAUGAGGAAAAUGUUAAGGACAAAAAAAAGGGGAACAUUUUCAUUGGAAUCGUGGGAGUGCAGCCUGUCACAGGUGAGGUUGUGUUUGAUAGUUUCCAAGACUCUGCUUCCCGUUCGGAGCUAGAAACUCGGAUAUUGUGCCUGCAGCCAGUGGAGAUGCUGCUUCCCUCACGCUUGUCAGAACAGACAGAGACACUUGUCCACAGAGCCACAGCUGCUAGUGUGCGGGAUGACAGAAUUCGAGUAGAAAGGAUGGAUAACGUUUAUUUUGAAUACAGCCAUGCUUUCCAGGCAGUUACAGAGUUUUAUGCAAAAGAUGCAGUUGACAUCCAAGCUUCACAAAGUUUUUCUGGCAUCAUUAACUUGGAGAAACCUGUGAUUUGCUCUUUGGCUGCUGUAAUAAGAUACCUCAAAGAAUUUAACUUGGAAAAGGUGCUUUCCAAACCCAAGAAUUUUAAGCAAUUUUCUGGUGAAAUGGAAUUUAUGACAAUUAAUGGAACAACAUUAAGGAAUCUUGAAAUCCUACAGAAUCAGACUGACAUGAAAACCAAAGGAAGUUUACUUUGGGUUUUAGACCAUACUAAAACUUCAUUUGGGAGACGGAAGUUAAAGAAGUGGGUGGUCCAGCCACUCCUUAAACUAAGGGAAAUAAAUGCUCGACUAGAUGCUGUCUCUGAAGUACUCCAUUCAGAAUCCAGUGUGUUUGGUCAGAUAGAAAAUCAUCUACGUAAAUUGCCCGAUAUAGAGAGAGGACUCUGUAGCAUUUAUCACAAAAAAUGUUCUACUCAAGAGUUCUUCUUGAUUGUCAAAACACUGUAUCACCUGAAGUCAGAAUUUCAAGCACUAAUACCUGCUGUUAAUUCCCACGUUCAGUCAGACUUGCUCCGGACAUUUAUUUUAGAAAUUCCUGAACUCCUCAGUCCAGUGGAGCAUUACUUGAGGAUACUUAAUGAACAAGCUGCCAAAAUUGGGGAUAAAACUGAAUUAUUCAAAGACCUUACUGACUUCCCUUUAAUAAAAAAGAGGAAAGAUGAAAUUCAAGAAGUUACUGACAAAAUCCAAAUGCAUUUACAAGAAAUACGAAAAAUACUAAAAAAUCCUUCUCUACAGUAUGUGACAGUGUCAGGACAGGAGUUUAUGAUUGAAAUAAAGAAUUCUGCUGUAUCUUGUAUACCAACUGAUUGGGUUAAGGUUGGAAGCACAAAAGCUGUGAGCCGUUUUCACUCUCCUUUUAUUGUAGAAAAUUACAGACAUCUGAAUCAGCUCCGGGAGCAGCUAGUCCUUGACUGCAGUGCUGAAUGGCUUGAUUUUCUAGAGAAUUUCAGUGCACAUUACCACUCCUUGUGUAAAGCAGUACAUCACCUAGCAACUGUUGACUGCAUUUUCUCCCUGGCCAAGGUCGCUAAGCAAGGAGAUUACUGCAGACCAUCUCUACAAGAAGAAAGAAAAAUUGUGAUUAAAAAUGGCCGGCACCCUGUGAUUGAUGUGUUGCUGGGAGAACAGGAUCAGUAUGUUCCUAACAGUACGAAUUUAUCAGGGGACUCAGAGAGAGUAAUGAUAAUUACUGGACCAAACAUGGGUGGAAAGAGCUCCUACAUAAAACAAGUUGCAUUGAUUACUAUCAUGGCUCAGAUUGGCUCCUAUGUUCCUGCGGAGGAAGCAACAAUUGGAAUUGUGGAUGGCAUUUUCACAAGGAUGGGUGCUGCAGAUAACAUAUAUAAAGGACAGAGUACCUUUAUGGAAGAACUAAUGGACACGGCAGAAAUAAUAAGACAAGCAACAUCCCAGUCCUUAGUUAUCCUGGAUGAAUUGGGAAGAGGGACAAGCACCCAUGAUGGAAUUGCCAUUGCUUAUGCUACACUCGAGCAUUUUAUUAGAGAUGUGAAAUCUUUAACCCUCUUUGUCACCCAUUAUCCACCAGUUUGUGAAUUAGAAAAAAGUUACUUACAAGAGGUGGGAAAUUAUCACAUGGGAUUCUUGGUCAAUGAGGAUGAAAACAAAGAGGAUCCAGCUACAUCUGUGUUUCUUCCAUUACCUCUAAAUCCUCUGCUGUCUGAAUUAGAGGCCACUGCAUAGGUCAUCAGGCAAGCACCCCAAAGACCUUUUGGAUGGCUUUUAAGAUACUAUGCUGUUUCCCAUGGAGGUGAAGAACCAGUCCCUGAUUUUGUCACUUUUCUUUAUCAAAUAACCAGAGGAAUUGCAGCAAGGAGUUAUGGACUAAAUGUGGCUAAACUAGCAGAUGUUCCUGGAGAAAUUUUAAAGAAAGCAGCUAGCAAGUCAAAAGAGUUAGAAGGAUUAGUAAAUAUGAAAAGGAAAAGGCUAAAGUGUUUUACAAAGUUAUGGAUGAUAAGUGAUGGAAAAGACCUGCAAAAAUGGACAGACGAGUUUGAAAUGGAAGAAAUUUCAGACUUCUCUUCUUGAUUAAAAUGAAGACUACAUUUUUUAACAAAACAUGGAGAAUUAAAAAUACCACCUGUACAAAACAACUCUCCGUAACAGCCUAUCUUUGUGUGAUGUGAGCAUAAAAUCAGAACUAUGGUAUAUUCCUAUUGGAAACAAGCCCUUUGUGUAGAAAGACUAUUCAGGUUCUUGUCAUCCUGACUUUAUAAGAGUAUCAACAGUUUUGAAUAUUAAGACCUCUGUUCUCUAAGUAGAAGACUUCAUGAAUAGUAAGCUUACAUAAAAUCUGGCCUCCUAAAUGAAGCCCAACAUGAACUUUUAGAGAGUGAUAGAAAAAUCUGAUUCAUAUUUACUUGUUCCAGUUCAGAUUAAUUUGCACCUGGGUGAGAGGUCUAGCAGAAAUAUACCUUUUCAUUUGAACUAAAGUAAUUUUAUAAUGCCACCAGUUUAUUCACUAUAAGCAUAAGAAAUUUUGAUAAGAAAUAGAAAAGAUUAUCAGGCUUUUAAAAGUAGAGCAUGGAAGGAAUAAGAGCAUAUGAAAUUUGAAAAAAAUACUGUCACAGUUUUAAGCAGUUUAAAAAUUAUUGGAUGAAAUUAUUUGUGAUUCAGGUAAUAAACAUUAAUGAAUACUUGCUAUAAA